rnacentral:tRNA from 1 species
GUUUGAUUAGCUCAGUUGGUAGAGCAUCUGACUUGAAAGCAGAAGGUCGCACGUUCGAGUCCUGUAUCGGGCU